AAACAGGAUUAGAUACCCUGGUAGUCCACGCCGUAAACGAUGUCUACUUGGAGGUUGUGCCCUUGAGGCGUGGCUUCCGGAGCUAACGCGUUAAGUAGACCGCCUGGGGAGUACGGCCGCAAGGUUAAAACUCAAAUGAAUUGACGGGGGCCCGCACAAGCGGUGGAGCAUGUGGUUUAAUUCGAUGCAACGCGAAGAACCUUACCUGGUCUUGACAUCCACGGAACUUUCCAGAGAUGGAUUGGUGCCUUCGGGAACCGUGAGACAGGUGCUGCAUGGCUGUCGUCAGCUCGUGUUGUGAAAUGUUGGGUUAAGUCCCGCAACGAGCGCAACCCUUAUCCUUUGUUGCCAGCGGUCCGGCCGGGAACUCAAAGGAGACUGCCAGUGAUAAACUGGAGGAAGGUGGGGAUGACGUCAAGUCAUCAUGGCCCUUACGACCAGGGCUACACACGUGCUACAAUGGCGCAUACAAAGAGAAGCGACCUCGC
rnacentral:rRNA from 1 species